rnacentral:rRNA from 1 species
ACGGUCCUAAGGUAGCGAAAUUCCUUGUCGGGUAAGUUCCGACCCGCACGAAAGGUGUAACGAUUUGGGCACUGUCUCAACAAAGGAUCCGGUGAAAUUGUAGUAGUCGUGAAGAUGCGACUUACCCACGCUAGGACGGAAAGACCCCGUGGAGCUUUACUGUAGGCUGAUAUUGGAUUUUGAGAUUAGACGUACAGGAUAGUUGGGAGACAAAGAAACUUGCACGCCAGUGUAGGUCAAGUCACCCUUGGGAUACCAACCCUCUAAUAUCAAAGUUCUAACAUUGACCCUUAAUCAGGGCAAAGGACAUUGUCAGUUGGGCAGUUUGACUGGGGCGGUCGCCUCCCAAAAAGUAACGGAGGCGUUCAAAGGUUCGCUCAGAAUGGACGGAAACCAUUCGAAGAGUACAAAGGCAAAAGCGAGCUUAACUGCGAGAUAUACAGAUCAAGCAGAGUAGAAAUACGGACUUAGUGAUCCGGUGGCACCGCAUGGAAGGGCCAUCGCUCAACGGAUAAAAGCUACCCCGGGGAUAACAGGCUUAUCUCCCCCAAGAGUCCACAUCGACGGGGAGGUUUGGCACCUCGAUGUCGGCUCGUCUCAUCCUGGGGCUGAAGUAGGUCCCAAGGGUUGGGCUGUUCGCCCAUUAAAGAGGCACGCGAGCUGGGUUCAGAACGUCGUGAGACAGUUCGGUCCCUAUCCAGCGUGGGCGUAAGAAAUUUGAGAGGACCUGUCCUUAGUACGAGAGGACCGGGAUGGACAUACCGCUGGUGUACCAGUUGUUCCGCCAGGAGCAUAGCUGGGUAGCUAAGUAUGGAAUUGAUAAGUACUGAAAGCAUCUAAGUACGAAGCAACCCUCAAGAUAAGAUUUCUAAGAGUACGUAAAGAAAAUACGUUUGAUAGGUCCAAGGUGUAAGUGCAGUAAUGUAUUAAGCUAAUGGAUACUAAUACUUUAAAUCUUGACUGG